CUAACUCUCUCUCUCUCCCUUUAGAUGCAAUGACAGCCUCGAUCCCGUCCCUCUCUCGGCGCCCUAUCCUUCUCCCUCCCUCCCUCCCUUUCUCCUCCCCGAUCCCGUCUCUCUCUCUCUCUCUCUCUCUCUCUCUCUCUCUCUCUCUCUCUCUCUCUCUCUCUCCUCUCCAGCUUUCUUUUUGUUUGAAAAGAAGCAACGCCUUUAGAUCUGGCGAUCUGUGAUCGCUACCCCUGAAAACGUCGCUCGAGGCCACUGCACCUGAACGCGUUUGCUACGUCUGCUACACUCGAUCGUGUUGAUGAGCAGGUAGCAAAGGACAUAUAACUGCUAGAUUCCAUUCCUGAGAAGCAACCCCAGAUCUUCUCUGAAGAAUGCAAGUAUUAUUGAAGUAAAGAGUUUGAUUUUUUUCACCGGAGUUUGAAGAUGAGAUCAUAAUGCUGGUUGAUUUACUUGAUGCCUCUGCCUUUUGGAUGGAUUGAAGAUUUUUGGGGUCCUAAUGCAUUUGGUUUAUUUUGACUUUUGUUACUGAAUAUUUAUUGGAUGUUGCAGGUUAUUAGCACAUGGGAUGACCAAAAAUGAGUGAUGCCCCAUUGGUUUGACCUGGAAAAUUUAUUAUAACUAACCUUUUCAAGUAAUUGGAUGAUUCAUAUGAUCCAGUAACAUUUGUUGUUUCAUGUCUACUUGUUGAGGCAAGGCUUUUAAGAUUAAAUGGUUGUAGCUUGAUUGGGAAGUAAUGGGA